GGGAUAACAUUCUGAAAAGAAUGCUAAUACCGCAUGACAUAUCGGAACCACAUGGUUCUGAUAUCAAAGAUUUUAUCGCUUGAAGAUGGACUCGCGUCCGAUUAGUUAGUUGGUGAGGUAACGGCUCACCAAGACCGCGAUCGGUAGCCGGACUGAGAGGUUGAACGGCCACAUUGGGACUGAGACACGGCCCAGACUCCUACGGGAGGCAGCAGUGGGGGAUAUUGCGCAAUGGGGGCAACCCUGACGCAGCAACGCCGCGUGAAGGAUGAAGGUUUUCGGAUUGUAAACUUCUUUUAUUAAGGACGAAAAAUGACGGUACUUAAUGAAUAAGCUCCGGCUAACUACGUGCCAGCAGCCGCGGUAAUACGUAGGGAGCAGGCGUUGUCCGGAUUUACUGGGUGUAAAGGGUGCGUAGGCGGCUUUGCAAGUCAGAUGUGAAAUCUAUGGGCUCAACCCAUAAACUGCAUUUGAAACUGUAGAGCUUGAGUGAAGUAGAGGCAGGCGGAAUUCCCCGUGUAGCGGUGAAAUGCGUAGAGAUGGGGAGGAAUACCAGUGGCGAAGGCGGCCUGCUGGGCUUUAACUGACGCUGAGGCACGAAAGCGUGGGUAGCAAACAGGAUUAGAUACCCUGGUAGUCCACGCUGUAAACGAUGAUUACUAGGUGUGGGGGGUCUGACCCCUUCCGUGCCGGAG
rnacentral:rRNA from 1 species